ensembl:snRNA U2 U2 spliceosomal RNA
AUCACUUCUCGGACUUUUGGCUAAGAUCAAGUGUAGUCUCCGUUCUUAUCAGUUUAAUAGCACUCUGUCAUCCAAUAUAUGAACGCAAUCUGUCUCUCCAUUUUUAUGGGACUUCUUAAUUUCUGUCUGUCAGCAUUAUUUUGUAGUACACAGGUCUUACGCAUCUUGUCAGAUUUACCCUUC